CUCCUCUCCUUAACAUUUUCCAUAAAGAUUUGUUUUCUUUUUUUAUUCUUUUAUUAUUUGGUUUUCUUCUUUUUCCAUUUCCUCUCCCAAUUCUGUUCUAUAAUUGCAAGAUUUGGAAAGAAAUCUGGUCGGAUCUUGCUUGUGGGUUGUGGACUUUGUUGGGUUUCAUUUCAAUACAAAAAAGCUCAACCCUUUCUCUUCCUCCUCUCCCA
rnacentral:misc_RNA from 1 species